AACGCACCUUGCGCCUUUGGGUAUUCCGAAAGGCAUGCCUGUUUGAGUGUCAUGAAAUCUCAAUCCCCUCGGGUCCCUUGACCUGGAGUGGACUUGGACCUGGGCAUCUGCCGUCUGUCGGCUUGCCUCAAAUGACAUGGUGGGAUCAGCAUCCACGGCCUGACGUGAUAAGUUUCGUCUGGCAUGGUGUGAGGCCCGCUCAUAACCUGCCCCUUGUGGUGCUCUUUUGGACUCUGACCUCAAAUCAGGUAGGACUACCCGCUGAACUUAA
rnacentral:misc_RNA from 1 species